GACGAACGCUGGCGGCGUGCUUAACACAUGCAAGUCGAACGGAAAGGCCCUGCUUUUGUGGGGUGCUCGAGUGGCGAACGGGUGAGUAACACGUGAGUAACCUGCCCUUGACUUUGGGGUAACUUCAGGAAACUGGGGCUAAUACCGGAUAGGAGCUCCUGCUGCAUGGUGGGGGUUGGAAAGUUUCGGCGGUUGGGGAUGGACUCGCGGCUUAUCAGCUUGUUGGUGGGGUAGUGGCUUACCAAGGCUUUGACGGGUAGCCGGCCUGAGAGGGUGACCGGCCACAUUGGGACUGAGAUACGGCCCAGACUCCUACGGGAGGCAGCAGUGGGGAAUAUUGCACAAUGGGCGGAAACCUGAUGCAGCAACGCCGCGUGCGGGAUGACGGCCUUCGGGUUGUAAACCGCUUUCGCCUGUGACGAAGCGUGAGUGACGGUAAUGGGUAAAGAAGCACCGGCUAACUACGUG
rnacentral:rRNA from 1 species